rnacentral:tRNA from 1 species
GGAAGUGUGCCCGAAAGAUAA